rnacentral:rRNA from 1 species
GUGCCAGCAGCGGCGGUAAUACGAAGGGGCUAGCGUUGCUCGGAAUGACUGGGCGUAAAGGGCGUGUAGGCGGUUUGUACAGUCAGAUGUGAAAUCCCCGGGCUUAACCUGGGAGCUGCAUUUGAUACGUGCAGACUAGAGUGUGAGAGAGGGUUGUGGAAUUCCCAGUGUAGAGGUGAAAUUCGUAGAUAUUGGGAAGAACACCGGUGGCGAAGGCGGCAACCUGGCUCAUUACUGACGCUGAGGCGCGAAAGCGUGGGAGCAAACAGGAUUAGAUACCCUGGUAAGUCCACGCUGUAAACGAUGUGUGCUAGAUGUUGGUAAACUUUGUUAUUCAGUGUCGCAGUUAAC